GCUGCCCAUACACUCAUUGCAGACAUGCCUGCUGUGUCACAUGAGUGUCGGAGGGUGGCAGAGAGGAGAGAUGCUAUGUCUAUGCUCAGUGUUCCCAGGGCAGGGAGGGAACCAGCGGGCUGACCAGCUCAGAUGCCUCUCAGG
rnacentral:snoRNA from 1 species